GAUGAACGCUGGCGGCGUGCCUAAUACAUGCAAGUCGAGCGAACAGACGAGGAGCUUGCUCCUCUGACGUUAGCGGCGGACGGGUGAGUAACACGUGGAUAACCUACCUAUAAGACUGGGAUAACUUCGGGAAACCGGAGCUAAUACCGGAUAAUAUAUUGAACCGCAUGGUUCAAUAGUGAAAGACGGUUUUGCUGUCACCUAUAGAUGGAUCCGCGCCGCAUUAGCUAGUUGGUAAGGUAACGGCUUACCAAGGCGACGAUGCGUAGCCGACCUGAGAGGGUGAUCGGCCAAACUGGAACUGAGACACGGUCCAGACUCCUACGGGAGGCAGCAGUAGGGAAUCUUCCGCAAUGGGCGAAAGCCUGACGGAGCAACGCCGCGUGAGUGAUGAAGGUCUUCGGAUCGUAAAACUCUGUUAUUAGGGAAGAACAAAUGUGUAAGUAACUAUGCACGUCUUGACGGUACCUAAUCAGAAAGCCACGGCUAACUACGUG
rnacentral:rRNA from 1 species